CACACGUACAAUAGUCACAUGUGUCCUCAUAAACUAUGAGUAAACAUACACAAGUUUGUAAAGUUAUAGUCUACCGCUGAGUCACAUUAUAGCUCAUUUUUUCUUUUUUUCUGUCUUCCAGCUUGUCCAUGAGCCUGUCGCUUCAGGAAAUGAAGUCACAUCUCCUAAAGAGCUCGUCCAUGAGCCUGUCGCUUCAGGAAGUGAAGUCACAUCUCUUAAAGAGGUAAUAAUGGUAAGAUCCCAGCAGGAAGCUAGAAGGCCAGGCAGUGGCAAUGAUGAGCCUUUGAAAAGGAGGAAACCAUGCCUGAAGUACCCAUCUGAAGGAACAAACACUUGUCAUAAAUGUCUCUCAAAACAAUGUCUCCGGCAGAGGAAAGGGUACGCUCAAAAAACCCUGGACAAAAGCUGAAGUGAGUGGUAAAUGGACUGCAUUUUAUAUAGCGCUUUUAACAGACCUAUGGCCAUCCAAAGCGCUUUACAAUUUGCCUCACAUUCACCCAUUCACUCUCUCAUUCAUACACCGACGGUGGUGUGAGCCAUGCAAGGGGCCAUCCAGCUCAUCAGGAGCAGCUGGGGUUAGAUGUCUUGCUCAAAGACACCUCGACACUUGAUCAGGUGGAGCCGGGGAUUAAACCACCAACCUUCCGGUUUGUAGACAACCUACAUGAACCACUGAGCCACUGCCGCCCCAGUGAACGCUGUAAUGUGACACUUCAGAUCUCACAUCAGCAAAGGUCACUUGGCGUCAGUGAGAGAAUGUGAGGUCUGUAAAAGAUGUGAGCAUCCAGUGCUACAAAAUAGGACAGAGCAAAAUCUCAGAGAGUUUGUUUGAAACCGAGGGCUUACCUUUAAGCGCAUGGAAAAGUGAGUCAAAAUGUUCAGAAUGUAAUGCUGUUGAUUUUAAAGUAACGUUUUGUAAUUGCCGUCAUUGAAGGAACACGCCAACAUUUUGGGAAUUUAGCUUAUUCACCGUAUUCCCCAGAGUUAAAUAAGUCCAUACAUAUUUUUCUGUGCCUGCUGUAACCCUGUCUGACGCAGCCCUUGCUAGCUUAGCUUAGCACAAAGACUGGAAGUGAAUGGCUCCAGCAAGCAUACUGCUCCCAAUACGUGACAAAAUAACACAAACAUUUUCCCAUUUAUGUGUUGUGAUUUGUACAGUCGCACCAUGUACAAAUAACAAGGUGAUAUGAGACACAGCCAUCUUUUAACGAAUACAUACUGGGAACUAUAUUCUCAGAAGGCGAAGCACUGCUACUUGGGCGUAGUGAUUUGCUCGCAGCCCCCGAGAAGCCCCCUGGUGAGGAGCAGAGAGUUCGGUCAGAGUUGUGCAAAUCACUCCGCCCAAGUAGCAGUGCUUCGUCUUCUGAGAAUAUAGUUCCCAGUAUGUAUACCAGGGCUCGAAAUUGCGACUGUUUUGGUCGCAUAUGCGACCAAAAUUUAAUCUGUGCAACCUUAAAAAAUAUUUGGGAGCAUUUUUGCAACUGCUUAUUUUGUUGUGGUGUGACUUGAUUUAGAUAGUGUAUGCUGUGUGCUGUUCCAGGUUCAGCGUUCUCUCCAGCAUUACAUAACCAAUCAAAUUUCACCAUUAAGUUUUUGCGUUUAAUGAAGAGCACAGAUUGGUUAAUAUGAAUGUCAAUCAUUCCUUGUUGCCGUGCUACGUUGGUACGCAAAGCGCGAAAAUGUGAAAAAACGAACCACGAGAAUGAAGAGAACGAGACGACUACAGCCAAUCUUACUACUGUAUUAAUGGAGGUUGCAGGUAAAACGGCGUUGGUGGCGGAAUCCACACAUUUUAAGCGCGAGACCUUGCUUGAACAUGGCGAAAGUGCCA